rnacentral:rRNA from 1 species
GGUGGUGCAUGGCUGUCGUCAGCUCGUGUCGUGAGAUGUUGGGUUAAGUCCCGCAACGAGCGCAACCCCCGUCGUAUGUUGCCAGCAUUUAGUUGGGGACUCAUGCGAGACUGCCGGUGGCAAACCGGAGGAAGGUGGGGAUGACGUCAAGUCAUCAUGCCCCUUAUGUCCAGGGCUACACACGUGCUACAUUGGCGUAUACAAAGGGUUGCGAUACCGCGAGGUGGAGCGAAUCUCACAAAGUACGUCUCGGUUCGGAUUGCAGGCUGAAACUCGCCUGCAUGAAGGUGGAGUUGCUAGUAAUCGUGGAUCAGCAAUGCCGCGGUGAAUACGUUCCCGGGCCUUGUACACACCGCCCGUCACACCACGGGAGUGAGCAACACCCGAAGCCGGUGGCCUAACCCGCAAGGGAGGGAGCCGUCGAAGGUGGGGCUCGUGACUGGGGUGAAGUCGUAACAAGGUAGCCGUACCGGAAGGUGCGGCUGGAUCACCUCCUUUCUAGGGAGC